rnacentral:rRNA from 1 species
UGGGGAAUAUUGGACAAUGGGGGGAACCCUGAUCCAGCCAUGCCGCGUGUGUGAAGAAGGCCUUAUGGUUGUAAAGCACUUUAAGCGAGGAGGAGGGUACUGGUAUUAAUACUACCAGGUACUGGACGUUACUCGCAGAAUAAGCACCGGCUAACUCUGUGCCAGCAGCCGCGGUAAUACAGAGGGUGCGAGCGUUAAUCGGAUUUACUGGGCGUAAAGCGUGCGUAGGCGGCUAAUUGAGUCGGAUGUGAAAUCCCCGAGCUUAACUUGGGAAUUGCAUUCGAUACUGGUUAGCUAGAGUGUGGGAGAGGAUGGUAGAAUUCCAGGUGUAGCGGUGAAAUGCGUAGAGAUCUGGAGGAAUACCGAUGGCGAAGACAGCCAUCUGGCCUAACACUGACGCUGAGGUACGAAAGCAUGGGGAGCAAACAGG